rnacentral:lncRNA from 1 species
GCCAGUUAAGGGAUGGUGGUUCCCCAACCCCUCUGCUUGACUGCAUGAGAAACUUUAGCCCCUUGGCAAGGAUGCCUGCUCCUUUGAAAGAGGAAGUUGAAAUGAGAGAGUAAACUCACUCCCUUUGUCUGACUUAAGCAUGAACCACCUAUGGGAAGAAGCCAGGACAGAUGUGGGAGGCCAUAGCCCUGCCACUGCAGUUGCAAGAGUGCUAUGUUCCAACUGUUCAGGAGAAAAGGGAGACCUGUGGCUGCCAGCCAAGCCAUCCGGCCAUCCUCCUCCUCCAAACCCUCCAGACUUCUCAGUGCCUUUCUUUGGUGACCAGACCUUCUUCCAGACCUGGAACAACCCACUCUCACUCAACCAGGAGCCCAUGCAGAUGAACCUGCACUGUCGAAAGCCAUUUCCUGCUCCUCUCUUCACCUGCUCACUCCUGUUCAUCUGGCAGGUCUGGGCUUGAACAUCCUUCUCUGGGAGCUUUCCUUGAUCCCUUGUGUCUAAAGAGCUGUCCCUCUUUUUUAAAAAAAAUUGUGGUAAAAUACAUAUAACAUAAGAUGUCCUAUCUUAACCAUUUAGAAGUAUAUAAUGUAGUGGCAUUAAGUCCAUUCACACUCCUGUGCUAACAUCACCACCAUUCAUCCACAGAACUCUCUCCAUCUUGCAAAACUGAAAGUCACUGCCCA